rnacentral:tRNA from 1 species
GCGGGUAUAGUUUAAUGGUAAAAUUUUGUGCUUCCGACCCAAAGUUAAGAGUUCGAUUCUCUUUACCCGCUCCA